UAAGCGGAGGAAAAGAAACUAACAAGGAUUCCCCUAGUAACUGCGAGUGAAGCGGGAAAAGCUCAAAUUUAAAAUCUGGUGGUCUUUGGCCAUCCGAGUUGUAAUCUAGAGAAGCGUCUUCCGCGCUGGACCGUGCACAAGUCUCCUGGAACGGAGCGUCGUAGAGGGUGAGAAUCCCGUCUUUGGCAUGGACACACCAGGGCUUUUGUGAUGCGCUCUCGAAGAGUCGAGUUGUUUGGGAAUGCAGCUCAAAAUGGGUGGUGAACUCCAUCUAAAGCUAAAUAUUGGCGAGAGACCGAUAGCGAACAAGUACCGUGAGGGAAAGAUGAAAAGCACUUUGGAAAGAGAGUGAAACAGUACGUGAAAUUGUUGAAAGGGAAACGCUUGAAGUCAGUCGCGUCGACCGAGACUCAGCCUCGCCUCGGCUUGGCGUACUUCUCGGCCCGACGGGUCAGCAUCAAUUUCGCCUCUUGGAUAAUGGCGAGGGAAACGUGACACCUUUACGGUGUGUUAUAGUCUCUCGUCGCAUGCAAGGGUCGGGAUUGAGGAACUCAGCACGNNCCUUUGGGCGUCGGGGCUUUGCCUACGAUACGUGCUUAGGAUGUUGGCGUAAUGGCUUUAAACGACC
rnacentral:rRNA from 1 species